AUCUGAUUAGCUUAUAAAAAGCCUAGGCCUCUUAAACCUAAAGAAAAUGAAAUAACCAUUAUCAGAUA
rnacentral:tRNA from 1 species